CGCCCGCCGCGCGCGGCGGGCCUACGGGAGGCAGCAGUGGGGAAUAUUGCACAAUGGGCGCAAGCCUGAUGCAGCCAUGCCGCGUGUAUGAAGAAGGCCUUCGGGUUGUAAAGUACUUUCAGCGGGGAGGAAGGUGUUGUGGUUAAUAACCACAGCAAUUGACGUUACCCGCAGAAGAAGCACCGGCUAACUCCGUGCCAGCAGCCGCGGUAAUA
rnacentral:rRNA from 1 species